GCGCGUGAACCGGCCGCGGAUGGACGCAGCUUCCCAAGCUCAGAGCGCGGGUUCGAUUCCCGUCACCCGCUCCA
rnacentral:tRNA from 1 species